AAAGUGCGAUAUGAAGUGCGAUUUGCAUGAUCUGUGAGUCAUCAUAUUUUUGAACGCAACAUGCGCCCAGUGAUGGGCAUGUCUGUUUGAGAGUCGAGUCUAAUGACUGGUGUGUGUUGUGCUAUGUGCGUUGUGUAUGGUAACACAUGAUAACGCACACACACAGCGCCCACCGAGUUGGCUGGGGAGCGCAAGCUCGCCGGCUAAAUCAGAGCACGAAACAGGUCGCGCCGCGUGACAAGGACACGUCCUCUCGUGGACGACAUGUCCUCUCGCGGACCAACCUAACAAAUACAAAUAUGACCUCAAAUCAGGCAGGACUACCCGCUGAACUUAA
rnacentral:misc_RNA from 1 species